CCCCUUGUGGUGUAGUUGGCUAUCACGUUCGGCUGUAAAUGGUUUACUGAUACCGAAAGGUCACCGGCUCGAUUCCGGUCGAGGGGA
rfam:Chaetomium thermophilum var. thermophilum DSM 1495 unplaced genomic scaffold scf7180000011818, whole genome shotgun sequence.